AGAGGGGGAUGCUGCAGCGGCGCUUACUACCAAUCAAAUAGCGCUGCUGCUGCUCCCCCUCCCUCCUCCUCCUUCUCACCUCACACAGCCUGCACCGAGAGGAAGCUGCACGAGGAGCCUGUCAGCGGGGAGAAGCACAGUACUGCAUCUUCUGCUAGGAAUUGGUGACAGACUAUACGCCAUCAAACCACGGUUGAGAAUGACGGAAUCUUUUUGGCAAAACUCUACUUAUAUUUGUGCUUACAGAAAAAUAAAACUAAAAAAGGCCCCACUUCAGCGAAGAAAGGAGCGUCUGCACCUGAAGCCAGAGGCCGCACUACUCACAAAGCUGCUUGCUGUCAUUCCAGUUCCCCACAGCCCUACCAGCAGUGCCUGCAUAAAAUUAUAUUAUCUAUACAGAAAUACUUUCAGCUUCAGUUGGAUGGGGAGUGGGGCUCAGCUGUAGGAUCAUAUGAAAUAAUCAUUAACAACCUGAAAAUACAUCCUAUGCCUCGGCAUAGUGGGAAAAUUUCAAGAACAGCCGCCAGAGGGGAACUACAAUACUACCCGUAUCUUACAGGGAUAUCUUUCUGCACAAUAAAAAGUAGAACUCUAUUAUCAGGAUCUAUGGAGCUAUAAAUCUUACCUCUCCCCCUCAGAGAGCUGGAAUCUGUUCAAUGGAUAAAACUAUUACUCAACUUAAAACAUGUUUUUCUUGUAAGGUUUUGUUGAAGCCGCAUCAAAAACUAAUCACGAUUUGGCUCCGAAACAAAUGCACAGCUGCUUAUUAAAAUAAAAUCGAGCUGAAAAAAGCCAAACAUGCUCGAUACAAGAGACUAUGGAACCAGGGCAACACAGGAGCCUGUGCAAUUUAGUGCGUCUAAAACAUGGGGAUAUUCCUAGCAACACAAACGUUUGAAACAUAGCUUGGUCUCCUUAGUGCUUUAGAAUAUGAAUAUAGCAUUUC